rnacentral:rRNA from 1 species
ACCAUCGGCUCUUGGUUUCGGCCUUGAGUCAUUAAUGGCGAGUCAUAAUAACUUAGCGAACCGAAUUUGGCCUUUAUGGUUGUCGGUGCUUCAUUCAAAUUUCUGCCCUAUCAGCUUUCGAUGGUAGGAUCUUGGCCUACCAUGGCGAUAACGGGUAACGGGGAAUUAGGGUUCGAUUCCGGAGAGGGAGCUUGAGAAACGGCUACCACAUCCAAGGAUGGCAGCAGGCGCGCAAAUUACCCAAUCCCGACAUGGGGAGGUAGUGACAAUAAAUAACAAUGCGGGACUAUCUUUAGUCCAGCAAUUGGAAUGAGAGUAAUUUAAACCAAUUCUCGAGUAGCCAUUGGAGGGCGAGUCUGGUGCCAGCAGCCGCGGUAAUUCCAGCUCCAAUAGCGUAUAUUAAAGUUGUUGCAGUUAAAAAGCUCGUAGUCUGAACGUUGGCUGGUGAUUUUUCCUGUGUCCAUGGCUUUUUGCGGGCUCUUUUGUGAGGCUUGGCUUUCGGGCCUUGUUUUGCGGAGGAUGUCCUGCUUAUGUCGUGUGUAUGCGGAACUCCAGCCUUCUUUUUGGUACUUCAGA